rnacentral:rRNA from 1 species
GACGAACGCUGGCGGCGUGCUUAACACAUGCAAGUCGAGCGGUAAGGCCCUUUCGGGGGUACACGAGCGGCGAACGGGUGAGUAACACGUGGGUGACCUGCCCUCAGCUCUGGGAUAAGCCUGGGAAACCGGGUCUAAUACCGGAUAUGACUCCAUGACGCAUGUUGUGGGGUGGAAAGCCUUGUGCGGCUGAGGAUGGGCCCGCGGCCUAUCAGCUUGUUGGUGGGGUGAUGGCCUACCAAGGCGACGACGGGUAGCCGGCCUGAGAGGGCGACCGGCCACACUGGGACUGAGACACGGCCCAGACUCCUACGGGAGGCAGCAGUGGGGAAUCUUGCGCAAUGGGCGAAAGCCUG